AACGAACGCUGGCGGCAGGCCUAACACAUGCAAGUCGAGCGAGCAUUUCGGUGCUAGCGGCGGACGGGUGAGUAACGCGUGGGAACGUGCCCUUUUCUGCGGAAUAGUCCUGGGAAACUGGGGGUAAUACCGCAUACGCCCUUUUGGGGAAAGAUUUAUCGGAGAAGGAUCGGCCCGCGUUGGAUUAGGUAGUUGGUGGGGUAAUGGCCCACCAAGCCGACGAUCCAUAGCUGGUUUGAGAGGAUGAUCAGCCACACUGGGACUGAGACACGGCCCAGACUCCUACGGGAGGCAGCAGUGGGGAAUCGUAGACAAUGGGGGCAACCCUGAUCGAGCCAUGCCGCGUGAGUGAUGAAGGCCUUAGGGUUGUAAAGCUCUUUCAGCUGGGAAGAUAAUGACGGUACCAGCAGAAGAAGCCCCGGCUAACUCCGUG
rnacentral:rRNA from 1 species